rnacentral:rRNA from 1 species
AGAUUGAACGCUGGCGGCAUGCCUUACACAUGCAAGUCGAACGGUAGAGUAGCAAUACUCGAGAGUGGCGAACGGGUGAGUAAUAUAUCGGAACGUGCCCAGUCGUGGGGGAUAACGUAGAGAAAUUUACGCUAAUACCGCAUACGAUCUACGGAUGAAAGCGGGGAUCGCAAGACCUCGCGCGAUUGGAGCGGCUGAUAUCAGAUUAGGUUGUUGGUGAGGUAAAAGCUACACCAAGCCGACGAUCUGUAGCUGGUUUGAGAGAACGACCAGCCACACGUGGACUGAGACACCGG